UGGAGAGUUUGGCGCGCGUGGAGGCCGAAACGUGCGGCGAUCGGGCGUUGGGCGCGGCGUGGAUGCUGUUGCGGCGCUGAGGCAGAUGCGGCUAGGGUUUUGUUUUUUGUGUUUUGGUGUGUUGAUCUUUGGGUUUGGGCUGCUUUGUUGGGCUUGUAAAAUGUAAGCCUGUUCAUUUUUUGUUUUGGCUUAUUACGUGGGCCCAGGCCGAUUGGGCCUUAUUACAUA
rnacentral:lncRNA from 1 species